UCUCAGAUGGACAGCUAGAAGUCUGCUAACAACAACAGUCUUUUACGUCUUGAAAAACGUGAUAAAAAUGAUCAUCAAAGUCAUUCAAUGUUGGAUUUAUCAUCAUGGACAUGUUGUACAAAGUCUCAGAAAAGACACCGAGGUUCCAGGCCGCGCUACGAAUCUUCUGAAAGGGCCACGAUCGCACGGAAGCCUGGAACGACACAAGUGUUAACAUCCCGUCAAAACAAACCCUGUUGAUAUCAGCCGUGGGAUCUUCAGGGAAAGCAGCCGUGAGCCAAGAUUAAAGGAGAAACUUUGCUGUGUCUCAUGGAGCAACUUGCUGUCUCUCCAGUGCAUCACUGAAUGCGAAACAGCUUACCAGGUUAUUAAGCCUCGUUGGAGGUCUGCGCACUGCAUGGAUCCACGCGCUGAAAAUGAUGUUAGUGCCUGAACCAGAUGGACUGGUGGACAUCGAAAGAGAAGCCCUAAGGUGCUGUUAAGUUUCCAAGUAAUUGUUUGGUAUUUCUUAAUGAUUUCCAGUUAUUUUAUCAUGAUUUUUGAAUAGUGGCUACUGUUGAGGAAUUUCUCUCUUCUCCUGGCGAGACUGCAAAGAAGAGUGUUUGGUUCGCCUGUGAAAGGUCAUCUUCUCCUUGGCCAAGGGUGUCAUAGUCGCAGAAUUUGUGGUUAUAGUUAAAAGGCAUCGUGCACAGCGGUAAACAUUGAACAUGCUCAGACAGAGACAGAAGGUUACUAUAGAGAUGACAUCCAGCUCAAUACUGAGCUCCUGAGUGUUUAAGAUAUCCACGGUCUCCGUCUUCCAGCGUCCACGUCUGGAUAACAAGCACAUUAAGCGGUUAAUCACUGUGAGCGAACAACAAAAAACACACCAUUUUUCCUACUACUGCACCAGUAGUUGGGAGAACACAUGCUGCAACUCUGUGAGGAAAAUUCAACUUUAGGAACAGACAUCUGUCUAGGCUAACUGAGCAAACACCUGAGCCAGGUGCAGCCUGUCAGCCUCCACCUCCUCCAUCACCACGGCUGCUUUCUGACGCUCUGCUGCCACUGAAUUCUGAAGUCUGAGACUCAUGCUUACCAACUGCCAGGACGUCAAUGUACUGCAACACUGCAGCUGCCUCUACUGAAACGGGUUAAAGUCAUUUUCAACUCACAAGAACAAGGCAAAAACAACAACAGAACAUAAUACCAUCACAUUAAGCAGGCUUUUUAAUUUAACAUCUAUAUGCCAUACUUCACACAAAAAACUUUUUUUGUGCAGACAGACUUUCAGGAAGACCUGAUGACUGACAUGUUGUUAUCCUGAGAUGACAACAGCUGAAGACUUCAUCUAUUUUAAUGUUCCCACAUUGUUCAUUGCUGCUAACGGAAUCUUCAACUGUCUUUGGAUCAACGCCACCAAGUCAUUAAGAAUUACAAGGUGGACCCCAGUGCCAAAACCAGAGGGGCUACAGCGUCUACUCUCUGUCUCUCUCUUCACCUCUCCCCACGCUAUCCCACACAUGUUAAUUUAUCAAGUUUUCUACUGAUGGCUCUGGAGAACAAGUCUGUGUAUUCUAUCACAGGCUCAGUCACCCAUUGAAAGGACUCUGAGGUGACAUCAAAAUGGUUCUUUUGAAGCCUCGUGUGUGAUCAACCCCAGGGCAUUGCUCAUCAUCGUCACUCCUAGGACUCCCCAGCUGUAAAAAAUUUGCAUUCAAAGGGGGAGAACAACACUGGGAAAAGGAAUGACAGAGACCAUACAUCCAAAUCAGCAUUUAUGAAGUCAGCUAUACAACUGCGUAUGGUGACAAAGGGGCUUCAAAUGACACUCAAUAUCAAGUGACAGAGGGAGGCAAAACAGGGCUUGUAUUAACACACAAACAACUUCCUUGACAGCUUUUAAUUGCCACCUUAACCUCUGGUGUCAGAGUCAUUUAGUCACCACAAAGGCAUCAUAUGCAAAAGCGAGGAGUAGAAGAAAAAAAAAUCCAAGCCGUGCACUGCAUCAAACUCACUUAUCCUCCUUAGCCUCUGACACUGUGUUCCCCUAUAGUGCUUUGCCAAUAAACCACUAAAACUCCCUCAAGGCUGCGGUACUCACAAGCCUGCGCUGCUGUUUUGACCCCUCUUGCUCGUUGCUGGUAACUGUGGCUCUAAUCUGGGCGAACUGUAGACAUGUAACCACAUGGCAUCACCGGUUGUUGAAAGAAGAUGACUUAACAAACUCACUCACGAUGCAAAAGAAAGGUUGGUCGCUCUUCGGAUAACCGUUGAUGUAAAGGUACGGUAUUAAAUAAUUCAGGAGUGGAAAGAUGGAAGAGACUGAAAGUCUUACUAUCAGUCCUUUUAACAAUGACCUUCAUGCUAACUAGUCAGUAAACAAAUAAGUUAUGGAAAUAGAAACAAAACAAGAUCUUUUGCUUUCCACUACUGGAUCUUUUGGCGAUGAAUUUUUUUUAUUUGAUACUGAACUAUCAAUCUCUGCCACACUUGUAAGUAAACAGCUGUUGGCGGUGUGGAAAUGGCAAAAAACAGCAACUUACAAAUCGCUUGUUUAAAAAGAGAACUACAACAAGAAGUCUAUUUAAGGCUUAGGGGAGUACUACUACAACUACAUGUGACAAUAUGUCUUAAGCAUUUUGUGGCUCAGGAGGGUGCAGAACUAAGUUUGAUAAUUUGUCUCAAGGGACGUUACAUCAUCAGUUGGUGCUGGAGACGAUAGGAUUGAAUAUGGAAACAAUCUGGGCAUGUGAAGUUAGAAAGAAUUGAGUUCAUCAGACCUCUGUGGCCCAAUUCUCCUCUCCGCUUGAGGCCGUAGUUGCCGGAGGCUACAUUAGCAACUGUGAGAAUAAUUCACUACAGUCUCUGUUGGUAGUCAAACUUUGGCUAAUGUAGGCGGCUGGUUUUGAAAAGCAAGAAAAAUGAAUUCACAACAAUGCUGAUAUAUCUGGUUCUGCUGCGGUGAUUUUCAUAGUCAAACAGGCUGGUGAAAUGUCAUGUUAAGGUGUUUGUGUCUUUGUUGGUUUGCCUUUGUACAGCCAAAUGUGAGCUACAGUAAAAAAACAUACACUAAUCAAUUUCUAGAAAGAGAGAUCUAGAAAGAAAAAGAAGACGAAGAAGCCCAGCAAAUGAUGCUCUACAUUUAGAGCUACGUUAACGUAGUACUAUAUUCCAUCAUGUGUGAUGGAAUAUGCAUCUAUUCCAAGUGGAAUGUUAAGACAUUUAAAAAAAUAUAUCGAUAGACAUGAUGAGUCCUUAUUUAGAGAUAUCAUCAAAGAGUCUGUUUGUGUUGUCAUUGGGGUUUUGAAAUUGUGCUCCAUUUUGAAUCAGUUAUGUGGACAAAAUCGAUGAGGGAGGAAAAAAAACAUUAUAUUAAAAAAAUUAACUCCUCGAUCUCAAAGCAAUCAAGAGACUUGUUCAUCACUUCAACUUAUUCAAUUUCUCUUUAUGAACAGAACAAUAAUAAAAAAAAGACAGAAAAGCAAUCAUAUAGAAAUGCUUCUGGGGAAAUCAUACAAUUUUCUGACAAUAUGCAAUUAAAAAACUGGUCAAACUGAAAAACUACGCAGAUAUAAUGCAAAAAACAAAAAGUUUAAUAAAUUUAAAAAUAUCCCCAUCUCUCUGAUGUGAACAGUAAUAUGCCAUUUAAACUAAAGUGUCCCAGAACAGGCGUUCAAUGUAGCCUGUUCCAUAUUCAUCUGUGUUUUUGGUUAGUCCUGGACAGUUCAGCAGACCAUGAUAUUUCCUUAAACUAAAUGUCAUGAAGGCAUUCAGGCAUGAAAUGUCAGACUAAUUCAGGGCACAGGCACAAAAUGUGAAGCUCGCAAAGGACUUUCUCAAAACGGCACGGAGCAAUUCAUCAAAGCGAAAAGGUGGCCCUAGUAAAGUGACGUAAAAAACAAAUGGUCUGCAGACGCAGCUCGAAUUGAUUUUGCAACAAAAAAUGUCCCUAAAAUCUAUCUCAAUUUCAAUGAAACAUUGUCGCUAACCAAUUCUUAAAACAAAAUCUAUAACUUAUGCCAUUUUAUUAUAGGUGUGUGAGAUAACACUGAGGGUAUUCUGUCCUCCAAAGAUUGUUAUUGACUGAAUAUUUGGCAGAGGACAAAUUUACAGUAACAGCAGUGAUGCACGUCAAAGGUCCCUUGGUGCCAAUAAAGAUGUCUCAGACAAAUAUUUUAUAAUACUUUCAUAUUUUAUCCUGCAACAGGUUUUCUUUUCAUUCUCCGAUUAAUUAAUGGUUUUGCCAAAAGGCUGAGUUUAAAAUAUAAACACUUAAGGAAAAGAAAAAAAAGAUUAAUAGAUCAACCAUGAAAGUUCAGUUUUUACCUCAUGGUUAUGGUCCUUUGACAAAAAAUGAUAGUACUAAUACCAUUAUCCCUGAGAAGUCAAGUCAACUUUCCUAUCAACUCAAACAGUCGCAACGAUGAAUAAUCUCUUAUCGGUGUCAGGAUUCGACGAAGACUAGUUAUUUUUAUUUAUUUGUUCAUUGUCUUUUGAUAGUUUUGACCCAGUCUCCUUCAACCAACAUCACAGCUGUAAAGGGGAAGGAUUCUAAGCCUAAAAUGAUAACGCCUCUUGUAAAUGUUCAACAUUUAUCCGUGAUAGAGGAUCCGUGCUUCAUCAUUACUAUCUGCUGCCCUACAUAUUUGGCAAUAAUUGUUGAGGCCAACAUGUCUUCCAAGACAAAUCCUAAGUAUAUGGUGGGGGGAGAGAGUGUGUGUCUUUGUGUGUGUGUAACCAAGUGAGAUUAGGUGUUAUUAUGUGUGUAGCAGAGAUAUAAGGACACAAGCGUAUGUGUGUGUGUAUGUGUGUGUGCACGCACGUGGAAGAGUGUAUAGCUUGCUCUGUCGAGAUAAUCUCAUUGUGUAGUGUGUGACGCAUCAUCCUGCUCUUAUCUCACUGUGCAUUGUGAGCACCCUAGGGAUUCACGAGUAGAUAAUCUGUGAAAUUCAGCCUCGUGCAUCAGAUUCAGUCUGGCUUUGAAAUUGGUUGAUAUUUUAAAUAGUAUAAAAUGAGCAAACAUUGCACUAAAGACAACCACUCUCAGGUGUUGUAGGCCAUUAACUGAUCAUUUAACAGAUACACAUGAGACUGUGGUGCAGUGCUUCAGACUGAAUGUUUGCAUGACCAAAGAGGCAGAUUACCACAUUCAAGAAGAGCGACAUUAUUCUAAUCAUCCAUUAUUUUCUUGUGGAUUUUCUGUUCCUGUUACACAUUUCAGUCCAAUGGAUUUUAUUUUCAAGAUGACUGUGCCGAAAAAAUAUCCAUUCAGUUUUUAUCAAUUACAUUUCCAUUUCCAAUACAUCAUUAAUGGGGUAAACUUGUUUACAGGUUGGCAAGCUUAUACCAGACUCAGCAGAUAUAUUGUUCAAGAUAUGAAGCUCUGAUCGUUUCAACUCUCAAACCAAAUACAUCGUUUACAAUUUUUAAAUCUUGUGGGGUUUAAUUCACCGUUAUAAAAUUUCUAAGAAGAUGUAACCUAAAUUAACUUAGAUAGCUAAUUUCAACCCCCUAAUCAGAUAUUACACACGUUAAAUUGGAAACAGGGACAGACUGGGUAAAUUCUAAUCAGGAUUUAUUACAGGUGCUAGACCGAAAUUAAUACUUACUGCAGGAGAUAGUCAGGGUCAAAUGUAAAGUGACAGUGAACUUUGAUUUAAUCCCUCUCAAAGCAAUUUCACAUAUCUGCAUCUCUCUCUGUGUUGCCACUAAACUACUGUGCUGAACUUUUGCCAUACAGAGUGAUAAAGAGCCUAAAAAAACCCCAUAUGAAAUUAGCCACUGAAUACUCGUUAGCCUAAACCACAACAUGCCUCAGGUACAUAGUAGGAACAAAUUCUGUUGCAUCUGGCUCAAGACACUAAAACAGAGUAUAUUAUAGAAUAGUAUUAAAUAUUAAUACCUAACGAGUGUAGCAAUUUAUAGACGAGGUGGGGUGAUAAGAACAGAUGUUAUUAUCAAGUUUGAUAAAUUAGACGAAAACUGGUCUGUCAGAUAUGCAUGAGUCAUAACACCUGACUGCAGAGUUUAGUUAAGUUAAAAGGAAAAUGAAGGAGAAAAUGUUAUGUUUCCUUAAUUAUAUAUAUAUAUAUAUAUAUGUUUAUUUAUUUAUUUCCCUGCAGGGUUUGUCUAUAGUUGUUAGAUAUACUACCUAUAAAAUAGGGAGCUGUGAUUGCUGUGAACAUCAAGCCACAUGGAGCUCUGUUGAAAAUACUGGAGUACAGUGUUGCAGUGAGGUUCAUUAUUUCUGUGUUUUGUCGGAAACCAAUAAAGUGUGGAUUAUGGACAAAUGAAUGACUGAAAAAGAAAAUCAACUAACUGGAAGGAGGCCAAGAUAUAUUCUAUCACACCCGGCAAUCUGUUUUCCUGAAAUAAACCCAUUGGGUUUUCUCUUGAUCUCAAAAUAUUGUGACCCUGUGCAGGGAAAUGAUACAAAAAUAGUGCUCCAUCCGUGCUGUCCAUUUUCAGGAUUACACCAUGUUAUUACUUUGGUCAGUGCUGGUAUCAUUCUGUGACGGCACUAAUGUCCAGGAGCUGCAGCAGCCCUCGCUGCUCUGAUGGUCACUGAUCACUGAUAGGUAUGGGGGAGAAAAUGCUGAAUCAGACAAGGGGCUUAUUUUACUGCUACAUUUGCACGGGAGAAAAAAUGUCAAUACUGGGAGACAGAGGCGGACUGAAAUGAGUAAAAUGAUCAAGAGGAGAUAUAGCAUGUUUUCAUUAGGGAGUGGCUGAUAAUAUCAGGAUUAAUCAGCAGCUUCCCUGUUGUAAUUCUCAAUAUGAACCAGAUCAAAACUGUAGAAACCAACCACAACAAAUUAUUCUAUCUGGUAUGAAUCAGUGUCACACAUCUUAGCAAAAUGUGAAAAUUUUAAUGUUUUAGCUAUGUCUGUUUCACAGCCUCUCUUUAGCUGAUAAUAUUGUAAAAGAUUUGUGUAAAUCUGGAUCAUUUAUACAAGUGUGUCAGACAUUUAAUUGUUGUUGGAGGGGGGAGUGCAUCAAGGAAGUUUGUCUUAAUCCUUGAAUCAAAAUAAAUACUGAAUGAAUCCGGCAACAGCCUUUAUAUAUAUUAUGUAUGGUGUAUUUCUCUAGCGCAUGAGUUAAGCCAAAGGAAAAAGAGCAUCAACAAAGUAAAAGCUCAGUUUCCUGUGUGUAGCGGACUAGGGCAUGCUGCUCUCACAAUGGCCAAUACACCAGGAUGGUUUGAUUUCCCUUGGGGUAUGAAAGCUAUCAUAUAAUCCGGGACUUCCUUUCAACUCCUUCCCAGUUCAAUUUAUCGAGUACAAACAGGGUUCAGAUCCUUAAGAAGAAAGACUCGAAAAAGACGAUGGAUAAAUUUAAAAAAAACAAUAAACACGUUUGAAGAGAAUGUCUAGUCUCAGAUUUAUGCUCUGCAGCAUUGACUUUAUGAUCUGCAAGACAGGAAAUCACUGAGAUGUGGAAAAUGAAUUAGUGAUUUAAAAAAAAAGAAAAUCAGGGUAGUCAAAUGUUAUGUCUGAAUUUUCAAUUAGAUUUCAUAGACUGCUCCAUUUCUGAGUACCUACUAAUGUUGCUUAUCUAUAUAAAAAUACAUUAUCUGUCCCUUUAAACCUGUAGUCUUAAAAGAUUGAGAUUAAAGGGGCAAUGUAGCAAUUUUACAUUCAAAAAUCAGUAUACUCAUUGUAUGGGCUGCUGCUUAGCCUGCAUGAAAAAAGUUCACUGUCUUCUGCAGAGAGCUGUCUGCAAAAGUAAUACUGAUGAUGUCAUCUGGGUUAUCUCAGCAUGGCUUUGGAGAUGUCAAAAGUAUAAAAGAGAGUCUGCGUUACAAACUGUGGGCAUGGAGAUUGAUAGACAUAGGUGUUGACCAGAUAAGAUGCUAUCGAGUUGAAAUGAAGGCCCCUGCUAUUUCUUGAGGCUUGGGACACACUAGAAACUAAACAGCACUCUGGCAGAUCUGUAAAAAGUCUUGAAACGCAAACAGUCUGCAGGAGGAGGAUAGCCCUUUAUCUUUGUUUCAAAGUGCUCAUUCUGAAAUCUUUCUUCUGUGAUUGUAAUUGUUUUUUUUAAUUCCUCUGUUAAAUUGUUGUUCUUAUGUUACGUUAUUGUACUACACAUUCCAUUGCAUUUAUGUUUUUGUGGAGCCACAUCAGUGAAGUGCCACUUCAUUGUCAUUCAUACUUUCAUAGUUGUCAGUCAGUCCCUGCAAAUCUUCCUGAAAAUAGUUUAAAUUUUAAAGAAAAAAUAUAUCUUCACAUUUUCAGCUCUGCAAGAGAUAGAAACGGCAAGUGUAUACACGAUCAACCUAUGCAACAUCCAAGACUGCAAGUAAAACAUCCUCCUGAAUCUGGAAACAAGACAGAUGAAAGUGGAGCGUGAACCGAAACUGCAAAGGUUUUCGCCAUAAAGCAAAAGUAAUGAGCUGAUGGACACAUAAAACCCCCAUAGAGCCAGAGGAACUGCAGAGUCGGGUGAUCUGUGAGUUUGAUGCCUUUCAAAUUACACAAAGUCAAAUUGAUUUAUUAUUACCAUGAAAAAAAAAUCUAUAUUUUCUCUUUUAUUUAAUGAAAAAUACGGCACAAUAUAUAUGCACCUCUUCAAAAUGUGUUUCAAUUAGAUAAUGUUUCUAUUUUUUUAAAUCAUUAAAAAGUCAUUUGUAGGAACACAGUUGCCAAUUCACACAUGGCCACUUGUGCCUUACGUGUAAAUGAGUUAUUUCAGUUGUGUGGAUGUUGAUGACGUUCCUGCUUGUUGCUCAUGGAGAACUACAACAGUCAAUACACACAAUAUGAAAUCGUUCUUGGCUAUGCACAUAUAAAAUAAAUAAUCUUUUACUUCUUUCAGUCGAAAUUCAGACACAUUUUUUCAGGUGUACUUAGCAAUUUAGCAUGUUUGUUAAAUGUGCAGCUUCUGCAGUUGUCACAGUUUUCAAGUCCAAAUUUAGGUCCAAGAAUAACUACAGAAAAAAAAGCGUUACAACUGUAAUGUUUCAGCUCACAGAGAAUACACAGAGAACUUUCAUAAAUGUUUUAUGAAAAGCUGAAACAUGAAGCUGUUCUUCUCUGCUGAUACUUUGGAUCUAAAUUGGUAGCUAAUUCUGUUCUGCCUGAGAAAAUGGGAACAUCUCGCUAUUUUAAAAAGAUUUAACCAAUGCUCCUUUUUCAGCAUUUGACAACUGCAGCUCCCAUGCCUCUCUGACAUAGAGUACCUGUCAAAAGUCCCCAUGGGAGCUGGAGCUGUAAAUAUAGUCAUAAGAUGGCACUGUGCUCUAAAAUUCAUGACAUUUCGGAAGACACAGACUAAUUGGUAAAUUGAAAAAUGUUCCCUGUCUCUGGUUGGGAAACUAAUCUGGCCUUAUUAAUCGUGUGAUUAAUGAGACCAACACAGCGACCAUCAGGAAAAAGAAAAGGAGAUGCCUCAGACUUUGCUCUCAUGCUCAGUCAAUUAGUAACUAAACUGCUUCUGAUUUAUCUCCAGACACAGCAAGGGAAGAAAUUAGCUGGUCUUGACUUUUGUAAAGAACAAAAUCUAUCACAACUACAAUCUAAGUGUCCUAAUCAUUAAGGACACAGCCUCUCUAGGAAAGUCACCACUUACAUGUGAAGAAUGAAGGGUAUUAUUACACAUUACACAAUGAGUUCAAAAAAAUUGGACACAAAACAACACUGUCAGUAUUAAUCAUUCAACAGUUGUCCGUUCUUGUUCACGGUCGGAAUUAAAAAACUGGAUGCCGUCAUAAAUGGGACGUCUUUGAAUACACGUGAAUGCAAACAAGGACACAUGAAGUAUGCACUGGAAUCCAGCUGUGUGUAAUGGAGCGUCGCAUAAUCAAUGGGGUUGAUUACACAUCACAAUGGACUGAAAAGCUGUCUAACCAUCCAUGGUCGCUGAGCACAGCGGCAACAAGCGCUGUUCUUGCCGAUGUCUCCCUGUUAGGGGAGAGAGUUCAAACCCCUUAUCUCAGGGUGUGGUCACCAAACAUCCCAUGCAAGCUUCAGGCGAUGUGUACACAUGGAAAAAGCCCCGCGCAUUAUUAGGGCCACAGCUGAGCUGGCCCCUGUAAAUAAAGGUUUGGCCACCAGAAACUUGGAACCAAUCACCCCAUAAAAAGUCUAAGUCUAUUGGGCUUGCCUUUGUCGAUAAAGACAAGGUCACUCUUCACCAAACAUGGUGACAAUGAUGAGACUAAUUCAGCUUAGGAGAUCGUACUAUGGCCUAUUGCCCUGACAACGCAGCUCUUCAGGUCAAAGGGGCGUUCUAAUGAAACACAUCUAUUUGCUAAUUGUCAGAAAGGUGGAUUCAGUAGCAUUUUUGUAAUAUGAGAAUGUCUCUUCCUCUGAAACCCAGAUGAUGGGUGAACUCCCCCCCUUAAUGGAAAUAAAUGUGAAGCAGAAUUAGAAAAUCACAAAAUGGUUCUGGUUGUUUUAUAAAAAUCAUUCUACAAUUAUUCUACUGCACUGAAAAGGGGAACUAAUACAUUUUAGCGAUUGCAGUCAUUUAAUGAAAUGCGGAAAAUUACAGAGCAAUUAGUACAAAAUUGAAAGAAUUUAAUGUUGUAAUGUUGUUACCACGUAAGCUCCAGUGCCUGUGGUAUGAGCAGAACUUCAACCAGAAAUCAAUUACUGUAAAAAAAAAUAUUUAACUAAUGGUGCAAUCACUGCAUAUGGAAAAAUGGCAACAACUUUUCCUUCUUUCAUUUGAACUGAAUAUUUGCAAUUAAAUCGAUUUGUGAGCAGCACCUGAACUGUGUGGUCAAGCUGUGCAGACGUGUGGGGUCGAGGUAAUGGCUGUACUUUAGAUCCUUGGCAGCACGAUUUACUUUGUCGGGUCUUGUUUUUACAUCCGCCCCUAAAAUUAUGUGAUGUACAUAGAAACUCUGAAACUAGUCCUCUCAGGAGCUUACAGCUGUAAAACUGUAUUUCAUUUCUGUUCUGACUUAUUUGUCAAUUUUUAAAUUACUGGCGCUCAAAACCCAAUGUGGAACAUCUUAGAUAUGUUCUUAUUCAGUAUAACUACAACCAAGUGUGUUUUUAAAGACCAUUUAAGGAGCCCUUCGCCAACGAAGCCACUGACAAUGUGCCCCACUGGCUCAACAUUUUUUAAGCUUUUUGGACUUGUUCAAUUUAGUUUUUAAAUAAAUGUCAACUAAUAAUGAUGAGCUGUACCUGAAUCAAGAGUACCUUUAUGGUAAAAAGUACAUAUGCCCUUGAAUUUGACAAUGCUACACUUCAGUUUGAGUUGAAUAUGGAUCAAGGCCAUAAAACUGAGUUAAUGUAACAGGAUACGAAACAACUCACAACUUUGUCACUCAGUGACGUUUGUCGGUUAGAUGCUAACUCAGGUUAGCUCCUUAAGUGAGCUCCUGGGUUAGGUUUUCUGGAUUGAAAAUAUUGGAAUAUAGAUUCAUAUCCAGUGUAUUGACUAGUAAUUGGAUAAUUUUAAACAAAUCCGGACUCAUCUGUGUGCAUUUCGAUGGGAUGUUUAAAGAUCAGAGAUUGAAAUCCCAUUUUAAAAAAAAACAGUUUAAGAAGAGUUGUGGUUUUUCAGUUCUGGAAUUCUGAAUGUGAUAAUGUAGAAACGUAUUUUGUCUACCUGCGAGAUGUGAGCUUGUUAACAACAACAUAAUGGGAACAUUUAUGGCAAAAACAAAAAAAGACUUUAAAUAAAUACAUGCGAUGUGUGAUAAAAUGACUUGUUUAUGCUACUAUAGGACUGAGAGCAAAACUACAUUUGGUAUGCACUGUAAAUAAUGUCUUCAAUACAGUAAAACAACAUGUUAAAUUAAUGACACUUAACAUUUCUCUUAAGUUAAUGUUACAGAGCUCUUUAUACUCUUUAUCAUGAUCAUCUCAUUAAACCUACAAUCUAUCUACAGUCAUGUUUUGAUCCACUGCAGUGGAAUAACAGUCAAAGCAGGCUAUACUGAAUCAAUGACUCUCAUGAAUCAUGUCAGGAAUAAAAGAAUUUCAGCACAAAUAUAUGCAACUGUUUGUUAGAUUCUCAAUCUCAAUUUUAAAUUUAAAUGCUUAAGCUGCAAACUUUUUCUUUAUCCUGUUUCAGGGUCUACUGGUUCGUAAAAUGGACACCUCUGUGUAAAUGCAGUACUUUUGUCCAUGUUAGGAUCCCAUGCAGAGAUUGUCAUUUGAUUCAUAUUUAAUCUCUCCUUGCGUGCCACACUUUCUAAUUACUUUUGAAUGCUCAGAGAGCACGUCGGCCACAUGUCAUUAUGACAUGAACUAUAUUAGAAUGAAAAAAUUGUGGCAAAGAAAAAAGACUGAUUUCUUAUAAAAGUGGACAACACCAUCAAAUAGUUAGUAAGAAUAAAAGUCAAAGGUUUAAUUGUCUAUUUAAGUCUCUGUGCCCAGAGUGAAUCUUACUUACUUUCACAGUGUAUUGUUUUUGUUUAUUUAAGUUAAUAUAUAUUUCAAGAUGUGGACUUUUUUUAUGUCUCUGUUGCCAUUGCAACAAUCCAAUGCCUGAAUUCCUCCAUUUCAGAUGUUAUUGUCUAAUUGUUGCAGAUGUUUGUUUUUUUAUUUUCAAGCAAUUGAUUGCUAUCCGGCUGCACGGUGGUUCUGGGUUCGAAUCCCGGUUCAACCAGGGCCUUUCUGUGUGGAGUUUGCAUGUUCUCCCCGUGUAUGCGUGGGUUCUCUCCGGGUUCUCCGGCUUCUUCCCA